AAUAUUGCGCAAUGGGGGAAACCCUGACGCAGCGACGCCGCGUGAGUGAUGAAGGCCUUCGGGUUGUAAAACUCUGUCCUCAGGGAAGAAACAAAUGACGGUACCUGAGGAGGAAGCCCCGGCUAACUACGUGCCAGCAGCCGCGGUAAUACGUAGGGGGCGAGCGUUGUCCGGAAUUAUUGGGCGUAAAGGGUGCGUAGGCGGCCCUUUAAGUCAGAUGUGAAAGCCCACGGCUUAACCGUGGGACUGCAUUUGAAACUGGAGGGCUUGAGUGUCGGAGAGGGCAGUGGAAUUCCCAGUGUAGCGGUGGAAUGCGUAGAUAUUGGGAGGAACACCAGUGGCGAAGGCGACUGCCUGGACGAUAACUGACGCUGAGGCACGAAAGCUAGGGGAGCAAAC
rnacentral:rRNA from 1 species